GCUAUACUCUCCGAGUGGUGGGCAACGGGAUCAAAGCUCAGACAGCCAACCCCGAGGUCAAAGUGAAGGGCGCCGACCCGGUGAUAAAUCAAAUCAUAGAUAAACUGAAACACAUCAAUCAGCUGUUGCAGGGAAAGUCCAUCCCGAAGCUGGGCACGUUGGACCAGAUCGAAACAGGAAGUGGAGAUGCGGAGGGACGCUAUAGCGGUGACUGCGAUGAUGAGGACGGUUGCGGUGGUUCGGGCGGCGGUGAGGCAAAGAAGAAGGUGCCGAGAGUCUCCAAAUUGAGCCCGGACGUGACCACCAAUCACAGAUACCACCAUCAUCAACACGAAGAGGACUCGGAAAAGCGAGGCAGAUCGAGCUCACAUGGGAGACUGACAGGAACCAUCUGGCUCUUGUUACUGACUUUUUUACAAACGCUGCUGCCCUUGUAAUGGCCGCUGUCCUGCAGCGGGCCGCUUCAGGGACCUGAUAUGAGAGAAAUGUGGAGAACAACAUAAAAAAAAGAAAAGAAAAGAAAGAAAAGACAACAGCAAGGUUCAAGUAAGGGAUGGGAGCGACCACCCGGGGGGACACCGACAGGUCCGGACGGCCGCGGGGCUCCGGCGCCAGGCGGGGGGCAGAAGCCAGAAGCGGAAGGAAAACCCCGAUGCGGAGGUGUAAAGGUACUUAAACGAACUGCAAACACGGCGCUGGUGUGAGGGGGCGCGCGUGCCUGUUGACUCUGUGGGGCCAAGCUAAUUAAGGAUUUUCUCGUUUGUUCUGUUCGCUCACGCGCUAACACUAACACUGACGUAUUCACAGCAGCCGAUGCCACUGCCGCAAGUUACCCGAGGCAAUGGAAAAAAUAACUAAUACAUCAAACAAAUAUUCUAUUUUGUAAAAGUUUGAACUUAAUGGAGCUGUACUGAAAUGCAUAAUAUAUUUAACUCAUAGAUGUAUAAAUAAA